AUCUACAGGCUUAACACAUGCAAGUCGAGGGGCAGCAUGGUCUUAGCUUGCUAAGGCCGAUGGCGACCGGCGCACGGGUGAGUAACACGUAUCCAACCUGCCGUCUACUCUUGGACAGCCUUCUGAAAGGAAGAUUAAUACAAGAUGGCAUCAUGAGUCCGCAUGUUCACAUGAUUAAAGGUAUUCCGGUAGACGAUGGGGAUGCGUUCCAUUAGAUAGUAGGCGGGGUAACGGCCCACCUAGUCUUCGAUGGAUAGGGGUUCUGAGAGGAAGGUCCCCCACAUUGGAACUGAGACACGGUCCAAACUCCUACGGGAGGCAGCAGUGAGGAAUAUUGGUCAAUGGGCGAGAGCCUGAACCAGCCAAGUAGCGUGAAGGAUGACUGCCCUAUGGGUUGUAAACUUCUUUUAUAAAGGAAUAAAGUCGGGUAUGGAUACCCGUUUGCAUGUACUUUAUGAAUAAGGAUCGGCUAACUCCGUGCCAGCAGCCGCGGUAAUACGGAGGAUCCGAGCGUUAUCCGGAUUUAUUGGGUUUAAAGGGAGCGUAGAUGGAUGUUUAAGUCAGUUGUGAAAGUUUGCGGCUCAACCGUAAAAUUGCAGUUGAUACUGGAUAUCUUGAGUGCAGUUGAGGCAGGCGGAAUUCGUGGUGUAGCGGUGAAAUGCUUAGAUAUCACGAAGAACUCCGAUUGCGAAGGCAGCCUGCUAAGCUGCAACUGACAUUGAGGCUCGAAAGUGUGGGUAUCAAACAGGAUUAGAUACCCUGGUAGUCCACACGGUAAACGAUGAAUACUCGCUGUUUGCGAUAUACUGCAAGCGGCCAAGCGAAAGCGUUAAGUAUUCCACCUGGGGAGUACGCCGGCAACGGUGAAACUCAAAGGAAUUGACGGGGGCCCGCACAAGCGGAGGAACAUGUGGUUUAAUUCGAUGAUACGCGAGGAACCUUACCCGGGCUUAAAUUGCAGAUGAAUUACGGUGAAAGCCGUAAGCCGCAAGGCAUCUGUGAAGGUGCUGCAUGGUUGUCGUCAGCUCGUGCCGUGAGGUGUCGGCUUAAGUGCCAUAACGAGCGCAACCCUUGUUGUCAGUUACUAACAGGUUCCGCUGAGGACUCUGACAAGACUGCCAUCGUAAGAUGUGAGGAAGGUGGGGAUGACGUCAAAUCGGCACGGCCCUUACGUCCGGGGCUACACACGUGUUACAAUGGGGGGUACAGAGGGCCGCUACCACGCGAGUGGAUGCCAAUCCCCAAAACCUCUCUCAGUUCGGACUGGAGUCUGCAACCCGACUCCACGAAGCUGGAUUCGCUAGUAAUCGCGCAUCAGCCACGGCGCGGUGAAUACGUUCCCGGGCCUUGUACACACCGCCCGUCAAGCCAUGGGAGCCGGGGGUACCUGAAGUGCGUAACCGCGAGGAGCGCCCUAGGGUAAAACUGGUGACUGGGGC
rnacentral:rRNA from 1 species